rnacentral:lncRNA from 1 species
UAGAUAGGCCUCCAGCAAAGUUCUUUGCACUAGGCCAGAAACUGGAAGAUUUCUUACAAAUUUACAACUAGCCUGCCCCAAAAUGGGGAGCAUAAAAUUUAACAAAUAUUUAUACAUGAAGUCUUUUUACAGAUGAUAAGUAGCUGGAGCCAAAUGUGUUUUUAAAUCAAAAGCUUCCUAUAGACUCUCCCUCCCAGCCUCCUUCCUCAGCCCACGGGGUGCCCUCUCUCCCUCCCAGCCAGCUUCCUCAGCCCACGGGGUACCCCCUCUCUCCCAGCCUCCUUCCUGAGCCCACAGGGUGCCUCCUCUCUCUCCCAGCCACCUUCCUCAGCCCACGGGGUGCCCUCCCUCCCUCCCAGCCUCCUUCCUCAGCCCACGGGGUGCCCUCUCUCCCUCCCAGCCUGCUUCCUCAGCCCACGGGGUACCCCCUCUCUCCUAGCCUCCUUCCUCAGCCCACACGGUGCCCCCUCUCUCUCCCAGCCACCUUCCUCAGCCCACGGGUGCCCUCUCUCCCUCCCAGCCUCCUUCCUCAGCCCACGGGGUGCCCUCUCUCCCUCCCAGCCUCCUUCCUCAGCCCACGGGGUACCCCCUCUCUCCCAGCCUCCUUCCUCAGCCCACACGGUGCCCCCUCUGUCUCCCAGCCACCUUCCUCAGCCCACGG